GGCUCAGUGGUGGAUGGUCCACAUCUGUUACCAAUAACGUCAGUUUUGAGAUACUUUAUAACCAGAAGCUGCCUGUUUGAAUCGGGCCUGAGCCA